UAAAAUAAAAACAAGUUCACAGGCAAUUAAAAUGAUAAAUGCAUAAGAAUUCUCAAAAGCUGUCACAAUUUUUAGAUUCGAGCUCUAAGGAAAUGCCACGUCAAGAAGCCUUUUCGGACACAAAACACUUUUAUUAUCACCGGACUAUUUAAAAGAAAACAAUUCAAAAAGCGCCGUCAUGUAAAUCUCUCACUCGCAAGUCAAUGCCCAAUUGAUUGCCUCUAAUUGGCAAGAUAAGAAAAAACUAGUUUUGGCUGAGGCAGAUAAAUAAACAAGCGAAACACACAGAGACACCAAUUCGGCUCAAUUGGCCUAUGUGCAAAUGUGGAAAAAGAGUAUUUAACAACAUUACCAACAACUCUUUCAGUUGAGCACUUUACUGUAAACACACACAAAUAAAAUGGGCCAAGUGAAAGAUGUUUAGAAAUUACUCACUGAUGACGCUGGCAUGAGCACGCAGCCUUAAAAACAUGUGUAAAUUAAACACUUAGCGAA